GGGGCUGUAUUGAUUCGACAGAGUAGUUGUACGUAUGGAUACAAGUAGUAGGCGUACUUAAAACGCAAAAUAAAAUAAUCGGAAACGAUUUUAAUUUUGCUCCUAGUUUUGCCUAAUUAAUGGUACUGGAGGUUCAGUUUAUUCUUUGUCCAUGAGAAUAAGUGCUGGACUCAUAAAAAUGGACUAUACUAUAUAAUUGUUUAGGUUAUAUAAUGAAAUUAUUCUAAACUUAUGCUAGUACUGGAAUGUUGGCUCUCCAUGGUACUAGAUGAAAAUUUAAACCAACUAAACUUGUAAAAACGUCUGUAUGGUUGAUGCUUUGGACACGAAGUCGCACUUCGUCAGCUCCACCA
rfam:Clostridium sp. CAG:628 genomic scaffold, scf104